rnacentral:tRNA from 1 species
GCCCCGGUAGCUCAAGUGGAUAGAGCACACGAUUCGCAAUCUGGAGGUUGUGGGUUCGAGUCCCACCCGGGGCU